ACUUAAAUAGCUUAAGUAGAGCAUAAUAUUGAAGAUAUUAAGGUAAAUUAAAUUUUUUAAGUA
rnacentral:tRNA from 1 species